UAGGGAAUCUUCGGCAAUGGACGGAAGUCUGACCGAGCAACGCCGCGUGAGUGAAGAAGGUUUUCGGAUCGUAAAGCUCUGUUGUUAGAGAAGAACGUUGGCAGGAGUGGAAAAUCUACCAAGUGACGGUAACUAACCAGAAAGGGACGGCUAACUACGUGCCAGCAGCCGCGGUAAUACGUAGGUCCCGAGCGUUGUCCGGAUUUAUUGGGCGUAAAGCGAGCGCAGGCGGUUCUUUAAGUCUGAAGUUAAAGGCAGUGGCUUAACCAUUGUAGGCUUUGGAAACUGGAGGACUUGAGUGCAGAAGGGGAGAGUGGAAUUCCAUGUGUAGCGGUGAAAUGCGUAGAUAUAUGGAGGAACACCGGUGGCGAAAGCGGCUCUCUGGUCUGUAACUGACGCUGAGGCUCGAAAGCGUGGGGAGCAAACAGG
rnacentral:rRNA from 1 species